AGCAGGAUAGAGCAAUGGAAGUUCAUCGGUCUCCUUAGCCGAAAGUGAAGGUUCGAUUCCUUCUCCUGCAA
rnacentral:tRNA from 1 species